rnacentral:sRNA from 1 species
CACUUACUUGACUAAAAUCUACUAUUUCGUGUAUAUUUAAAAUGUCAUUUAGCAGAAUAUUCGAUAAUAUCGCAUUUUCAGUUUUAUGAAUUCGCAAAUUAUUUUCAACUACAUUUCACUAAAUGAAAAAGUAAUCGUUUUCUAGGAGGAAUUGUAACAUGCAAGGAAAAGUAAAAUGGUUUAACAACGAAAAAGGUUUUGGAUUUAUCGAAAUUGAAGGCGCUGACGAUGUAUUCGUACACUUCUCAGCUAUUCAAGGCGAUGGCUACAAAGCUUUAGAAGAAGGUCAAGAAGUAUCUUUCGAUAUCGUUGAAGGAAACCGUGGACCUCAAGCUGCUAACGUAGUAAAACUUUAAUUCAACUUAUAACAGGAGGUUACCUAACUUGGUAACCUCCUUUG